AUUGAACGCUGGCGGCGUGCUUAACACAUGCAAGUCGAUCGGUAACGCGGGGGCAACCCUGGCGACGAGAGGCGGACGGGUGAGGAACGCUUGGGAAUCUGCCCUUCAGCGGGGGACAACCCGGGGAAACCCGGGCUAAUACCGCAUACGCUCCACGGAGGAAAGCCGGGGACCGCAAGGCCUGGCACUGAAGGAUGAGCCCAAGUCGGAUUAGCUAGUUGGCGGGGUAACGGCCCACCAAGGCGACGAUCCGUAGCUGGUCUGAGAGGACGAUCAGCCACACUGGGGCUGAGACACGGCCCAGACUCCUACGGGAGGCAGCAGUGGGGAAUAUUGGACAAUGGGGGAAACCCUGAUCCAGCGACGCCGCGUGGGUGAAGAAGGCCUGCGGGUUGUAAAGCCCUUUCGGUAGGGACGAAAGCUCUCGACCUAACACGUCGGGAGGAUGACUUAACCUACAAAAGAAGCACCGGCUAACUCUGUGCCAGCCGCCGCAGUAACAC
rnacentral:rRNA from 1 species